ensembl:lncRNA
CCCAGACUGUGAGUGACACGAUAUGAGUACUGGCAGCUGAUGCAAGUAGAGCCCUGUUUCACAGCUUAUCCCAGGAUCUAUGCAGUGAGCAAAGCCAGAGCAAGAUCCCAAAUGAUUAGGAUAUAAAACUUGCAGUCCUGUUUGUAUUACUGUCUCCAGUCCUGCUAAGCCCAAAGGAAAUGCACAGAUGCUGACUUGCUGCCAUGAAGUGUUGCUGUGAUAAGUCCUAGGAAAAGAUUUUCCAAAUGCUUCUUGCACAGAAAAGGUUUCAUUUUUCAGCUGUAACAAGACUCUUGGCAUGUUGGCGUACGAUCUAACAACUACUGCAGUACCCAAAUGUCGGCUGUAGGCUAUCCGGGCAGCCCUCAGCCACAGCUCUCCGCUACACUCCGGGAUGGGAUCACAUCUCAACGACCCGCUUUGAUUUCAAAGUACUUUCGCGUGGGAAUCACUUUCUGCGUCCUCCUCCCCCCCCCCUCCAGACGCAAAGAUCCUUCACUGCUCUCCAGUUCUGUGCUUUAAGUAUUUAAUCCGGAGUGAUGGGGUCUGUAACUGGAAGUGCAGUGUUGGUUGUUGUGCUUCCCUUGCACGUGCAGGUAUCAUCGCUGCUGUCGUGUCAAUUUGCCACCUCCAAUGUGCCCUGUUCUAUUUCUAAAGAGUUUCAGUUCAUACAAGAGCCCACCCCCGUCUAUACAUAGAGUCUUCCCUCGGAGGAAAUAGAAACGUGCGGUUAGAGGAGUGCAUCCCCUGCACGGUGCUGAGGGGCACUCGGAGACCCCACAUUCGCUUUCUGACAACAGCGCUCGGCAACUGAUUUUGGAAGGGCGAAGUUACUCGGGGGCACCAGCUCCCAGCGUCGGCCGUGAGGUCACGCUUCGGACAUUUCGAUCCCUAGAAUAAAAAUAAAUAAGCGCCAGGUUGCAGGGGGAGGUGAAAUAAAAUAAGUCAAUAAAAAAGAAAAGGAGUAGAAAGAAGGAAGGGAAAAAAAGGAAGAAAGAGAGAAAAGGAGGGAAGAAAGAAAGAAGGGAAGAAAAAGAAGGAAGAAAGAGAGAAAGAAGGGAAGAAAGAGAGAAAGCAACAGCACGAAAUAGGAGAGAACUGAAGGAGUGGGACGGGAGAACGUCUUUGCUUUGCCUCUGCCUCAUAAAAAUGCCACUCGUUCGCAAAAGAAGCAGAGAAAAUCCCUUCUCCCGCCCAGAGCAUUGCCGGACCGCGGACUCGUCCCCAAAACGGGGCUGCUGGGAGAUGAGACGCGGCGCUGGGGGCUCUCUGAGCCCGCAGCCCCGUCGUGUUUGCGAGCGCUCAUCCUUCGGGGUGAUAACACGACGGACAGUUAACUUUCUUGUUGCUUUACAUGUAUAUAUAUAUAUACACACGUAUAAUUGUUUGUUUGCCUUUUCCUUCGCAACUGGGUACAAACCAGCAGUGACAUGAAUAAUAAAAGCCCACACGAGUGUCCCUGAGCGCGGCACCGCGUUUAUCCCGACGGAUCUGUCUUCGCGACCGUAUUAUGUUACGCGGUUCCUCGGGACGAUGUAAAACACCCGAGCGGUUUUUUUCCCCCCCCUUCACGGAUCUAAAGGAGUGUGAACGGAUGGAUGAAUAGAAAAACAAAUAAGCAAGGAGAUUACGGCCUCGGGAUUAAUCGUAAAGCAAGUUGAACUUUUUUCUUUCGAGGGUUAUUUUGCUUCGCCCGCUUUUCCCUGGCGGUCCCCUCCCCUCUUCUCUGCAGCUCCCGGAGCCGCGGGGGCUCCACGGGACUCUGCACGGCGCUGAACGCGCUCCGGGUGCGGGGUGAGACGGGCCGGGCCGGGCGAGGAGGGACGGGGGAAGGCAGUGAGUCUGGAAAGGAAAGUGGGGACGGGGAGGGGUGCUGGGGAGGAGGGCAGCAGGGUGGGCACCUCACAGGUAGGCGC